GCUCCCGUAGCCUAGCCUGGUUUGAGCGUCCGGCUGAUAACCGGAAGGUCACCGGUUCAAAUCCGGUCGGGAGCA
rnacentral:tRNA from 1 species